AGAAGUAAAAGUCGUAACAAGGUUUCCGUAGGUCUGCGAAAGGUUUGCCUACCGGAGCCCCCGUAGCGACUGUAAAUCAAAUACGCCCAGUCCGGCCCUAGGGCCGGGCGACGUUGCGAUUCUGAGCUGGAAGCUCCGGGCCCUCGCCGCCCGGGGCAACCAGCAGCCCGGUACUCCCGAGUUCACAGAUCAAACUGCAGCGGCCAUCGCAGCGUGGUUCAGAUAUGACCGGUCCUCAGCUGAAAUAUCUGGGGAGUUUCGGAACCUGCGGAAGGAUCAUUACCGAGAGAGGAGCUCCGCGCUCCCGGGGUUUCCAGCCCCGACUCUUCAACCCUGUGUCUACGUUAACUAUGUUGCUUUGGCGGGCCUUGGAGGUUUUCCUCGACGCCGGCCCGGGGUCGUCCCGGGUUGACGAGCGCCCGUCAGAGGCCCUUAAAUCUUGUUUCAUCAGUGACGUCCGAGUAAGCACAAAAUAACUAAAACUUUCAACAACGGAUCUCUUGGUUCUGGCAUCGAUGAAGAACGCAGCGAAAUGCGAUAAGUAAUGUGAAUUGCAGAAUUCAGUGAAUCAUCGAAUCUUUGAACGCACAUUGCGCCCCUUGGUAUUCCGAGGGGCAUGCCUGUUCGAGCGUCAUUGCACCCUUCAAGCAUUGCUUGGUAUUGGGCUUUCGCCCCCUCUCGGGGAGGCGUGCCCGAAAGUUAGUGGCGGUCCAGUGCGACUUCGAGCGUAGUAGAAUCAACCCGCUUUCGAAGCUUUCGCGCUGUGGCUCUGCCAGACAGCCCCAAUUGAAUUUCAAUGGUGACCUC
rnacentral:rRNA from 1 species